rnacentral:rRNA from 1 species
CAGUCGCCGCGGGAAUACGAGGGGGGCUAGCGUUGCUCGGAAUGACUGGGCGUAAAGGGCGCGUAGGCGGUUCGUACAGUCGGAUGUGAAAUUCCUGGGCUUAACCUGGGGACUGAAUUCGAUACGUGCGGGCUGGAGUGCAAUAGAGGGUAGUGGAAUUUCCGGUGUAGCGGUGAAAUGCGUAGAUAUCGGAAGGAACACCAGUGGCGAAGGCGGCUACCUGGAUUGACACUGACACUGAGGCGCGAGAGCGUGGGGAGCAAACAGGAUUAGAUACCCCCGUAGUCCCUGUCUCUUAUAC